GACGAACGCUGGCGGCGUGCUUAACACAUGCAAGUCGAACGCUGAACCCGAAGCUUGCUUUGGGGGAUGAGUGGCGAACGGGAGUGUAACACGUGAGCAACCUGCCCUUCACUCUGGGAUAAGCGCUGGAAACGGUGUCUAAUACUGGAUAUGAGCAAUACAGGCAUCUGCAGUUGGUGGAAAGAUUUAUCGGUGAAGGAUGGGCUCGCGGCCUAUCAGCUUGAUGGUGGGGUAAUGGAUCACCAUGGCGACGCCGGGUAGCCGGCCUGAGAGGGUGACCGGCCACACUGGGACUGAGACACGGCCCAGACUCCUACGGGAGGCAGCAGUGUGGAAUAUUGCACAAUGGGCGCAAGCCUGAUGCAGCAACGCCGCGUGAGGGAUGACGGCCUUCGGGUUGUAAACCUCUUUUAGUAGGGAAGAAGCGAAAGUGACGGUACCUGCAGAAAAAGCACCGGCUAACUACGUGCCAGCCGCCGCAGUAACAC
rnacentral:rRNA from 1 species